AUUGAACGCUGGCGGAAUGCUUUACACAUGCAAGUCGAGCGGCGGCACGGGGGCAACCCUGGUGGCGAGCGGCGAACGGGUGAGUAAUACAUCGGAACAUGCCCAGUCGUGGGGGAUAACACUUCGAAAGAAGUGCUAAUACCGCAUACGUCCUGAGGGAGAAAGCGGGGGAUCUUCGGACCUCGCGCGAUUGGAGUGGCCGAUGUCAGAUUAGCUAGUUGGUGGGGUAAAGGCCUACCAAGGCAACGAUCUGUAGCUGGUCUGAGAGGAUGAUCAGCCACACUGGGACUGAGACACGGCCCAGACUCCUACGGGAGGCAGCAGUGGGGAAUUUUGGACAAUGGGGGCAACCCUGAUCCAGCCAUUCCGCGAGUGAAGAAGGCCUUCGGGUUGUAAAGCUCUUUCGGCAGGAACGAAACGGCGAGCUCUAACAUAGCUUGCUAAUGACGGUACCUGAAGAAGAAGCACCGGCUAACUACGUGCCAGCAGCCGCGGUAAGAC
rnacentral:rRNA from 1 species